ensembl:lncRNA
UUCUUUUCCUCUGUGGUUUGCCUUUUGCAAGAGGUUUAAGAAAUUCUCCUCUACCCCAAGGCCAUGAAUAUAUUCACUUACACUUUCCUCUAAAUGUUUGUUGUGAAGUAAGAAUCUACAAUUUUUUUGCUACAUUUGCUUGGCCUGUAUCUCUCUUCAUGCAUAAAUGUCUUUUAUAACUGCUUUAAAACAAAUAAAGCAAGAUCCAAUGAGUCUUUAAAUUGAAAACUAAAUGUAUUAGAAGUCUUUAAAUGUUUAAUAAAGAGCUAUUCUCUUAUCUUUUUCUAUUUUAUGACAGUGACAUUUUGAAAACAUCAGGCCAGUUGUUAUGUACAGCACCCUCAUUCUGGAUCUGAUUGUUUCCUCCAAGUAUUGUUUAACCUGGUCCUCUAUCCCUUGUAGUUCCUUUAAAUUGGAAGUUGCACAUAAAAUUUGGAUAUAAAUCAGGCUAAAUCAUUUAGUCAAAAAGUCAUAAGUGAUGCUGGGUAUUUCAUACUGUAUCAUGUCAGGUUGUCUGUAAUGUUAGGUUUUGCUACUAUUCAUGAUACAAAGUUUGAUCAUUUGAUUGAAAUGGUCACUGUGAGUUCUAUUAGUUGUAAAUACAUUAUUCUAUAUUUAUUGUAAAUUAUUAUCAUGUGUCUCCUCAAACAUUCAUUAUAUCCUUAUCUAGCUAAACACUGCAGUAUUAUAUACAUUUUAAUGUAUAAUAUUUAAAUUUUUGUAUAAAUUUCACUAUCUUUUAUGCUUCCUUAUUUAAAGCUUUUUAAAUAUUUGUGAUAUUCAUUUAUAUUGACUCUUAAAAGCUCUAAUAAAGGCCAUUAACAUAUUGAACAAAAAUUACUUAGGGGUAACAGUGUAUUGCGUUGUGAUAUGUAAUGAAAUUAGUCAUUAUUCUUGCCUUCUUAGAAGAUCAUCCAGAAGGGAAGCCCUGUUCAAUCUUAUUAUUACUAAUUGCUUUUGAGUAAACUUGGAGGACCCAGUGUGCAAGUUAAGAGGAGAGAGAUUUCCUUUUCCAAAGAUUACAUACAAGUCAUGGAUUUCUCCUUUUCUUCUUAUUCAUUUUAUUAUUUACUCUGUCUCAUGUAUUGCAAUCCUUAUAUUCUCAGUCAGUUCUGUGACAGUCCUCGUCUUAGGGAUUUAGGUUACAGCCAAAUGUUAAAGAUAACAAUCAUCUGUCUCAAAAGAUUAGAAUUAUCUUUAGAUGAUUUUUAUUUACUCUAUGCUACAGAUUUCUACCACCUUAUAUUUAUUAUUAGAUCACCCUUUAAUCACAAUUGUCUUUUUGUGACUAUUUGGGUGAGAUAAAAUCUAAAAUGUUUAGAAGUGUCAAAGCAUAUCUGUAUUAGCUAUCUAUGGCUACAGAACAAAUUGCUGCAAAUUUUAACAGGUUAACGUUAUAAAGUUAGUUUCGAUGGGUCAGAGUUGUCAGAGUCCAGGUAUAGAUUUUCAGUCUCUCAUGAUGACGGUGAAAUCAGGUUUCUGAAAGGACUGGGAUCUUAUCUGAAACCUAUGCUAGGAAAGGUCUGCUUGCAAGCUCAUUUAUACAGGGUUCAGUUUCUUAAAAUAUAUUCAACUGAUUGCUUUGCUCCCUCACUGGUUGUCAGUAGGAGACCACCCUUAAUUCCACGCCAUGUAAACCCUCCCACAGAGCAGCUCUCAUCAGACAGAACAAGAAGAGAGGGCCAGAGAAAAAAGUGUAAGUCAGAAGCCCCAAUUUUUCUAACCUAAUCUUGAUGGUGGUAUCACCUCUUGUUUGCUGUAUCCUAUUUAUUAGAUUCAAUUCACUUGGUCCAGCAGACAUUCAAGGGGAAGUGAUUAUACAGGGACCUAAAUAUCAGGAAUCUGGCAUCAUUGACAUCAGCUUAGAAGCUAGCUACCACAAGAAAGAAAUAAAGUUGUCAUUCUGUAUUUCUAAAGCUUUGCUCAGCAAAACCCAUAUUUAGAGAAGGCAAUAAAAAACAAUUGUCAUUAAAAACUUGUUUAUUUUCCAAAGUUGGAAAAUACAGAAAAACAGGAGUUCCCAUCGUGGCUCAGUGGAAACGAAUCUUAUUAGCAUCCAUGAGGAUGCAGUUUCCAUCCCUGGCCUCGUCCAGUGGGUUACGGAUCCAGGGUUGCUGUGAACUGUGGUGUGGGUCAAAGAUGAGGCUCGGAUCUAGCACUGGGAACCUCCAUAUGCCAUGGGUGUGGCCCUAAAAAAAAACAGAAAAUAGUCACAUAUACAUAGUCCCACUCUCAGGAAAUAAUCACUGUUCCCUUCACUUAUUUACUUUCUAUACCUUUUAUAUAAAGUGCUUUUUAAUUUGUAUCUAUAAGUCCAUAAUAUUGUAUAUCAAAUAAAUGUAGCUUGUCUUUUCUACUUGUCAUGGUAGCAUAAGCAUCCACACUGUUUUUAUAAACUCUAUGAAAUAUCAUUUUAACUGCUACAUUAUGGCCAAAUGAGUAAAGUUUCCAUCAUUUACUUAAACUUAUGCCUAUAUUUUAAUAUUCAUAUUAUUUUUUGUUUCCUAUAAUAAAUCAACCUAUGUCUUCUGAUGAUUUUUAUGUAAUGAUAUACUUCUAAAUAGCAUAGGUUUCUGAACAUUAAAAAAAAUAGAGCCAAAAAAAAGAAGAAAGGAGAGCAAUUAAUUGGUUAAAAAUCUAUGUGAGAAAAUAAAAUACAAAUGGGAAAGCCGCAGAAAACAGAAAACAAAUUAUUAGCAUAUAGAAGAAUACCUAAAUUAUGUACGUUUGAUAGUCAAAGAAAGACAGAUUACAAAUAGAACAUAAGCAAGAGUAUCUAAUACAUACUGAAAGAGGGGAAUAAAGCAUUGAGUCCUUGACAGGUCUAGUAGAGAAAUGGAUGGCAGAAUACUAAGCUAAAAAUGUCUAGAUCUUAAUGAAAAUAAUCACUUAAACUAGAUAAAUUUUAAAAUGUCUACUCAUUAAUUUUUAUCUCUGUCUGUGUAGAAACUGACAAUUUAAGGCCCAUUUUCAGCUUUGUUUUCAAGUGUACAUUUUUUAAGACUUAAAAGAAUAUAAAAUUAUGAUAUUUUGGGAAAGUUAUAGCUAAUUUCUUGAUACUUUUGUUUCCGCAUCUAAAAUGUCUUUUUAAAAAAUUAAUAAUAAAACAAAAUAAUAUUGUCUUAAUAUUAUUAUUGACUAAAAUAAUUCAACCUGUGUUAUGUCACAUAAAUACUCAGAGGGGAUAAAAAGCCAAAUGUCUUUGGGCUUAACAAAUAUUUAAAUAUAUUAGGAGAAGCAUUCUUUAUGCCUCAAUUAUCUAAAAAAUUGAGUUCAAAAAUAAAUUUGUUGGCUUAAUUAUUUUUAUAUGUGUGCCUUUGUUCAAAUAUAUAAUGGUGGUACAGUAGGGCCAGGCUAUCAAGAAAAGCAAGAAUUGAUUUUAGUGAGGUUGUAUCUUAGUAAUAUAAAGAGAGGGAGAGAACUAAACUCAAAACUUGAAAGCUAUUCGCAAAACUUAAAAACUAUUUCACAUAUCAAGAAUUAUCACCUUUUGAUAGGAAGAAUAAAAGGAUUAUAAAAGUCUUUUAUUUCUUUUUCUUCUUCUCCUGAAAAUUAUUGCAUGAGGAUGAGUUCAUUUUGGAUCAGGAGUAAACUCUUUUAGUAAGGCGGUCUUUCUAGACUUUGGGGUAAAGACUGGGAAUGACACAGAGGAAAGGAUGUCAAUGCAGACAGUUUAGGGCUGCCUCCUGCUCUGAAAGAGGCUCAGACAGGUGGGUAAAGGUAAUUAUUAUGGUUUUUCCAUGGUUCAUCCCAGUUUGCAAGGAUAGGGAUUUGGACAGGUAUACAGAAUAGAAGGAAAUCCCAGAAACACCCUUCUCUACUUUUCACUGUUCAUGUUUUAUACCUUUUGCUCAAUUAAAACAUAAGGGAAGUCAUAUAUUCCCUAAAAUCACAAUUCCCUAUUGUAUUCUUUCAUUGCAUUAUAUAGCCCUUACUUCUAGCAUUUAUCAUAUUUGCUAAUUAGAAUUUAUUAUUAUUAUUAUUUUCUAUUGUUGUUUGUCACUCUAAUUAAUCUGCAAACUUCAUGAAGGCAAAAGUCACAUCUUUCCUUCUCUUCCUUUCUCCAUGCUCUUCCCUCCUUUCUUCUUUUCUACCUGCUUCCCUCCUUAUCUCACUCCCUCUCUUUUUUUCUUUCCUUUUUUGUUUUCCCUUGUAUCCAUUUAUCACAGUGCUUGUUACUUAGCAGAUGGUCAAUGAUAUUUUUUGAAUGGAUAAAUGUUUGUGAACUGUAUUUGGGCAUCUUCUAUUACAUUUCUAGGAAUUUGAUAGGAGCAGUAAUCACAAGGAAGAACCACAUAAGAAACCAGAACACCUACAAUAAACAUUCAGGUUAAGUGAACUCAUAGCUGCUUUGGUAGAUAGCACUGUGAUUGUAUCUAUCAAAGAUUUGUCAACCUGGUGCAUUGCAAUCACUAGGUUUUUGUUUUGUUUUAUGUUUAUUUGUUUAAAAAGAUAGUUCCAGGUUCAUAGUUUUUCUGUAAUUGAGAUACAGAGGAGAGACCACAAUCAUUUCAGUUGAAUUGGAAAUUUGAUAUCCAUCUUCCUCAUUCAAAUAUGGUUGAUUUUUUCCAUAUAUAACUAACUUUUGAAGUAUCAUCCAGGUAUCAAUCUGAUAUCAAAGUAUAGACAUGAUGUUUCAGGAGGCAUGGAUUUUUUUGCACACAUUCUGAAUAUAUGGCUGAUGUAGUCUUACUAUAAGUCAAAAGCAUUUAUGGGAAAAACUAUAUACCUUUGAAAACCCCUAGAUUCUUUAUUCUCCUUUGGUAUAAUAUAGUUCUUUCCUAUACUAGCUCUUGAUAUUUUUCACCUGUCCAGGAAAAAUUUACCUUUUGGUUGAACUUCUCAAUUAUUUUGCAAAUAGAUUAUCUUUCCCCUAGACAAAAAAGACAGGCCAUCCUCUAUCAUACUUUGUGACCAUCAGGGAUUUUUUUCUUCCUUUGAAAGAAACCUUUGCUGAGAAAACAAGAUUGCCAGAAAAAAAUUCUUUGGGGAAAAAAAAAGAGGGAGGAGAGGUUUUGAACUUCUAUGUGAGGAACUAAAUCAAUAUAAGGUGAAAUAAAGGCAGGGGCCUUUUCCUUCCUGCAAACUAAAAAAAAAAAAAAA